GGCACUGCCUGCCCAGUGACAUAUGUUCAACGGCCGCGGUACCCUGACCGUGCAAAGGUAGCAUAAUCACUUGUUCUCUAAAUAGGGACUUGUAUGAACGGCCACACGAGGGUUUAACUGUCUCUUACUUUCAAUCAGUGAAAUUGACCUAUCCGUGAAGAGGCGGAUAUACCAAAAUAAGACGAGAAGACCCUAUGGAGCUUCAAUUCAAUAGUACAAACUAAUAACCUAAAAACCUACCAGGCAACAAUCCACCGUCAGUGUACUAUAAAUUUUGGUUGGGGUGACCUCGGAGUAUAACACAACCUCCGAAAAGCAUAUACUAAGACCUUACUAGUCUAAGUAANNACAUACAACUAUUGACCCAAUANNNANCUUGAUCAACGGACUAAGUUACCCUAGGGAUAACAGCGCAAUCCUAUUUUAGAGUCCAUAUCGACAAUAGGGUUUACGACCUCGAUGUUGGAUCAAGACAUCCUAAUGGUGCAGAAGCUAUUAAGGGUUCGUUUGUUCAACGAUUAAAGUCUUAC
rnacentral:rRNA from 1 species